ACGGGGUGCAGCAGGCGCGAAAACUCCGCAAUACACGAAAGUGUGACGGGGGGACCCCAAGUGCUCUCGCGCAAGCGAGUGCUUUUGUGAAGUGUAAAUAGCUUCAAGAAUAAGAGCUGGGUAAGACCGGUGCCAGCCGCCGCGGUAACACCGGCAGCUCGAGUGGCGAUCACUAUUAUUGGGCCUAAAGCGUCCGUAGCCUGUUUGAUAAGUCCUUGGGCAAAUCCUGUCGCUUAACGGUAGGAAUUCUGAGGAUACUGUCAGACUUGAGGCCGAGAGAAGUCGGAGGUACUCCUGGGGUAGCGGUGAAAUGCAAUAAUCCUAGGGGGACCACCAGUGGCGAAAGCGUCCGACCAGAGCGGGCCUGACGGUAAGGGACGAAAGCCAGGGGAGCGAACGGGAUUAGAUACCCCGGUAGUCCUGGCCGUAAACGCUGUGGGCUAGGUGUUGCAUGCUCUACGAGGGCGUGCAGUGCCGAAGAGAAGUUGAUAAGCCUACCGCCUGGAAG
rnacentral:rRNA from 1 species